rnacentral:rRNA from 1 species
AGAGUUUGAUCCUGGCUCAGAUUGAACGCUGGCGGAAUGCUUUACACAUGCAAGUCGAGCGGCAGCGCGGGGGCAACCCUGGCGGCGAGCGGCGAACGGGUGAGUAACACAUCGGAACGUACCCCGUCGUGGGGGAUAACGAGUCGAAAGAUUCGCUAAUACCGCAUACGACCUGAGGGUGAAAGCGGGGGACCUGCGAGGCCUCGCGCGAUGGGAGCGGCCGAUGUCCGAUUAGCUAGUUGGUGGGGUAAGAGCCUACCAAGGCGACGAUCGGUAGCUGGUCUGAGAGGAUGAUCAGCCACACUGGGACUGAGGCACGGCCCAGACUCCUACGGGAGGCAGCAGUGGGGAAUUUUGGACAAUGGGCGCAAGCCUGAUCCAGCCAUUCCGCGUGAGUGAAGAAGGCCUUCGGGUUGUAAAGCUCUUUCGGCCGGGAAGAAAUCGGGCAGGUGAAUAAUCUGCCUGGAUGACGGUACCGGAAGAAGAGGCACCGGCUAACUACGUGCCAGCAGCCGCGGUAAUACGUAGGGUGCGAGCGUUAAUCGGAAUUACUGGGCGUAAAGCGUGCGCAGGCGGCUUUGUAAGACAGGUGUGAAAUCCCCGGGCUUAACCUGGGAAUGGCGCUUGUGACUGCAAGGCUUGAGUUCGGCAGAGGGGGGUGGAAUUCCACGUGUAGCAGAGAAAUGCGUAGAGAUGUGGAGGAACACCGAUGGCGAAGGCAGCCCCCUGGGUCGCGACUGACGCUCAUGCACGAAAGCGUGGGGAGCAAACAGGAUUAGAUACCCUGGUAGUCCACGCCCUAAACGAUGUCGACUAGGUGUUGGGGAAGGAGACUUCUUUAGUACCGUAGCUAACGCGCGAAGUCGACCGCCUGGGGAGUACGGUCGCAAGAUUAAAACUCAAAGGAAUUGACGGGGACCCGCACGAGCGGUGGAUGAUGUGGAUUAAUUCGAUGCAACGCGAAAAACCUUACCUACCCUUGUCAUGCCAGGAACCUUGCUGAGAGGUGAGGGUGCCCGAAAGGGAGCCUGGACACAGGUGCUGCAUGGCUGUCGUCAGCUCGUGUCGUGAGAUGUUGGGUUAAGUCCCGCAACGAGCGCAACCCUUGUCGCUAAUUGCCAUCAUUCAGUUGGGCACUUUAGCGAGACUGCCGGUGACAAACCGGAGGAAGGUGGGGAUGACGUCAAGUCCUCAUGGCCCUUAUGGGUAGGGCUUCACACGUC